rnacentral:snRNA from 1 species
AUCGCUUCUCGGCCUUUUGGCUAAGAUCAAGUGUAAAGGUAGUCUGUUGGCAUAAGUAAAACAAUUUAGACAGUCUUUGUGUUUUUUUAAAGAAACAUGAUUUCUAAUUUCUUCAGAUUGAAAUAAACAUUCUGUCAAAACAAUUAUCCAUUUCAAAACAGG